AUAAAAAGAUUAUUUGGCUUCGCCCAUAAAAAGUGGCUUCGCCUAUGGAGAGUGGCGUUUGCCCAUGAAAGGCGGUUUUGCCUAUGGACAGUGGCUUGGCCCGUGGAGAGUGGCUUUGUCCAUUGAUGAGAGGCUCCUGCCUAUUGCGGUACUGAAGGGAAACAGGCUUCGGCCCAAGGUGGAGAAAAGACAUAGAAUUCAAAAGGAAUGAAUUAUUAUCCAUUGAUGAAAGGGUUAUUAUCAUGUAGUUAGAGACACCACAAAGUAAUUAAAGUAGUAUAUAUAUUAGUUUAUAUCUAGAGGAGACUGAAAGGACUAACUAAUGUAUUUAUCAUGAGCAAUUAUGUAGUAUGAGUUCUCUUGGG
rnacentral:misc_RNA from 1 species